CGAAGGACCCGAGCGUUAUCCGGAUUUACUGGGUUUAAAGGGUGCGUAGGUGGACCUGUAAGUCAGUGGUGAAAGCCCGAAGCUCAACUUCGGAACUGCCAUUGAUACUGCUGGUCUUGAGUAUAGUUGAGGUAGGCGGAAUAUGUCAUGUAGUGGUGAAAUACUUAGAUAUGACAUAGAACACCGAUUGCGAAGGCAGCUUGCUAAGCUAUAACUGACACUGAUGCACGAAAGCGUGGGGAGCAAACAGGAUUAGAUACCCUGGUAGUCCACGCCCUAAACGAUGAUAACUCGAUGUUGGCGAUACACUGUCAGCGUCCAAGCGAAAGCAUUAAGUUAUCCACCUGGGGAGUACGACCGCAAGGUUG
rnacentral:rRNA from 1 species